CUCUAGGUGAGGAGGCAGACACCUUGGGACAAACUACAUGUUACCUUUUUAACCUUGUACAGUUCUAGAGUAUCUUCUACUGUAACAUGUGGGAAUGACGGCCAUUAUUUUAGCUUUGAUAUUAUCUAGAUGGUAACUCUGCACCAAAGUCGUUGUUUAACGUCAUUCCAUUGGGUAGGGUUUAACUUCUGUAGCAAUUAAUGACAGCAAAUAUUUAGAACGUACAAAAGCUGAAGUAACAAAGAACACUAAGCAGCAUCGAUAUUAAAUCAAAUAUACUCAGCCAUAUUCAGGUGCUGGGUUCCGUUGAAGAAAUGUCAAAUUAUCUUCCUCCUUGAAAUGAUUUUCAGCCUUCCCUGAUGUCAAAAAUGGGCCCGCAAGUAGAACGCUGUUUUGUACGCAGUGAGAGUCCCAUCACGUCAUCAUGGUUAAAAAUACGGCGCAACCAUCGGAAAUCAACAUAUUGUACGACGUACGUGUCAGUAUGUAUUUAAUAUCAAACUUAAGUUGUUUAAGAUAGGGGCAACAAUUCCCGAUGGAAACAGACAAAAAAAAAAGUUUCCGUUGGCAACGGCUCGAGGUUACGCAAAUACAAUCCAGAACGUUCCGCCAGAUUCCCUCAGGGGACUCCCGUCCAACUAACUGCCAGGUGGUUUCUUAUGGUUGUCAAGACUACAACGUUCUAUGCUAACCAUUGGGACUAAAUCAAGUGACCGCACUCAGAACCUUCCACGGCGGGAAGCACAAACCGUCCGACUGGAAUCCGAACAUUCCGGCCGGAACCAACCAAAGAAAAAAACAGAACCAGCGCCUCACCUUGAGCUGAACGGAGGAAGAUCCUGAAGUCCAGCGAUGGUCUUCAUUAAAACACAGCCAACAGACUUACCUUGAGGAGAUCUGUUUGUUGCUGUUGGUCAUUAGUACUAUUCAGUGUACCUCCACAUUAUUAUGCACCCAGUGUGUACAAGUUAUCACUCAAAACCAUACGAAGAAAACAAACUACCAUGUACGUCCCACGACAACUUUAAAACUAAAAUCCUAGAAUCAUUCAAUACAAAACCGUGUCUACAUUUUACAAUUAUCUAGAUUAUUCAGGGUACAAACAUACAGAGCAAAUCUAAACGUUGAGCUCACAGAGAGCCGACCAUAGCCCUGCAACGUCACCCUGACCGCCUCAUCACCAACAGCAAAUCAUGCCAGCCAGCCAACACAUGUACAGCUCCAGUGAGAAGUGGGCAUCCGAGUGAAAGGACUGUCCAUAAUAAAAAUAAGCCACAUCCUGAACUAUGCAACCAUCUUCAUUGUUUAUAGAUUUACAAACUUGACAUUCCAUUGUGUUCCAAUCACCUUAGUCUGCUCCCUCG
ensembl:lncRNA